UACGAGGGGGGCAAGCGUUGUUCGGAUUUAUUGGGCGUAAAGGGUGCGUAGGCGGUCUGGCAAGUCUUGUGUGAAAUCUUCGGGCUCAACCCGAAGUCUGCACAAGAAACUGCCGGGCUUGAGUAUGGGAGAGGUGAGUGGAAUUUCCGGUGUAGCGGUGAAAUGCGUAGAUAUCGGAAGGAACACCUGUGGCGAAAAGCGGCUCACUGGACCAUAACUGACGCUGAGGCACGAAAGCUAGGGGAGCAAACAGG
rnacentral:rRNA from 1 species